rnacentral:lncRNA from 1 species
UGUUGUGAAUGUAUCAAUUUUAUUCUUGGGACUGGUUUUAUUAUUUUUGGAACUAUUAUAAGACUUCUGUUAAACAUGUUGAAUGUUAAGAGGAAACAGACUCUCAGCAAAUGUUGAAAACCAAUUACAGAAACGUCCCUGCUAGAACUAGAGAAACACAGGGAGAGACCGAGGAGAAGUUUGUCCUCCCCUUCUCCCACUGCCCAAAACACACAGAUGGUGGAAUUCCCAGGAAGAAAAAUAUGAUGAUUACACUGUGGUUCUUAUUCUUCUGUUCACAGGCAAAAAAACACUAAAACGAUACUUCUGAGUCAAACCUAUUUAUAAUGAGUUCAACAUAGGAUUAUUUAAGGCAAAUCUGAUACAGGAAAAAGUCAUAUAACUUACAGAAUGAUUCUUUACUAUCCACAAAGAAAUCUUCACUAAUAAAUCAAAUUACAUUUAAAAACACUUACAUUUCAAAUAUUAAUCUAUGGAACUUUCAGGAGCACAUCUGCUGUAAACAGUAUUGUAAAAGCAUGCUAUCAUGUACACAUUGAUUAAAGUACAUAAUUUCAUGUACAUAAAUACUGACAAGAUUGAAAUGUUUUAAAUUUCAAUUUUGAAACUCUAAAAACUGAUUUAGGAAAAGGAUCAACAGAAGAAAGAAACUUAUUUUCAGUUAUUAUUCAGCUAUUACUUUCCCACCAUAAGUGAGGCUUUGUGCUGAGCACCAAAAAGGUACAGAUAUGUAAGACACCAUCUUUGACCUCAAUGAACUUCCCGUUCUGGAAAGGCAAGGCAGCAGUUACAAUUCAAUAUGGUAGCCAGGCAUUUGCAGUCCCAGCUACUUGGGAGGCUGAGCUGGGAGGAUCACUUGAGCCCAGGAGUUUGAGGUUGCCGUGAGCUACGAUUGUGCCACUGCACUCCUGCAUGGGUGACAAAGCAAGACACCAUCUCUAAAAAAAUAAAAAUUAAAGACAUGUAAAAAUGAUUUUAAAAUGCAAUGCGCUAACGGCAAUAAUAGAGGCAGCCCACGUGGAAGCAGCUCUAGGAAGUCUUCGUAUUCUUGGCAGAAGAACAGCAUAUGCAAGGUUGAGAGUGGUGGGUGGGUUAGGGCAGCAGUCUGAUGCGUCAGAAGCAAGGAUGCAGAAAGCAAAGACCACAGUGUAGACUGGAGGUGAAGGAGGGGCUGGACCAUGAUGGGUGUCUGAAUCGGGCACCAUCUGAGGAGGUCAUCAAAGGCAUAUUCCUUAGGGGGUUUUGUAAAGACUUUUAAGAAGUGUGGGCAGAGUUAAGGGAAUCAACACGGCAAGGCUCCCAGUGCCCAGUAGCAGUGGGAAGCCAGGCCCUCCCUUAGACUGAGAGGAGAAGAUGGCACAGCCAGAGGCAGGCCGUGUGCUAGAGGCAAGGAAGAGUGGCCACCUGUUGAGCCCUAAGAAAUACUAGAAAAAAGAUCUGGAAAACUAGGUGCUUGUUAUCAGAUUUAAAAUAUUUUUAAAUAUUUGUAAUAUGUUUUAAUAUCUGGGUUUGAGAAAUACCACAUGGUAAAAGCUUAAUUAUGGAACUCCAGAAAAAAAAAAAAAAGACAUACCCAUUAGCUAAUAAGAGGCCAGGUGGCUCUCUUUAGUAGGGCCUGAAGAGGUGUCUCCACUGCCCCUGGGGCACCUCGGGUGUUAAGACACUGGGCACAGCCAUGCCUGUCACCCCCUGAUGGCAGAGUGACUCGAUGGGUCGGGCUUGCCAGCUGCUGUCCCUUCCUCCAUGCUGUUCCCUAGAUGUCACUUU